AACGUUAUAGUCUAUUAAGGAUGCUAAGUUUGCGUCUUAGUGGUGGAGUGUUUCUUUCGUUG
rnacentral:tRNA from 1 species